UGUCUGCGGGAGCGGCUGCGGUCCCUACUCUGCUCCCAGAGCCAGGCGUCAAGCUCAGUCUUUCUGCUUUCACACUCCCUCUGAUUGAUUCUCCACAAAAAGGACUUUGAUCGCUCAGCUCUUUCCUAAGGGUAUUUGUCUUCUCCAAACCUGUAGUGAACUUGCCGAUCGCGGAAUGUGAGCCAAGCUACCCAAAAACGAUUUUAAUAAACGUUGUGGGCACCUACUCGGUGUCACGCGCGUUCAGGAAUGUUGAGGAUACAGUGAUGAAUGACAUACCUUCUGCUUUGGAGGAGCACACGUUGAAUCGAGAAAGACAGGCUUCUUAGCAACUAAGAUAACGUGAUCAGUGCUAUCGUAGCAUGCAGUAUCUUAGUUCCUUGACCAGGUAUUGAACCCGUGCCCCCUGCAGUGGAAGCUCGGAGUCUUAACCAUUGGACCGGACCGCCAGGGAAGUCCCUCCGCUCCCUUUCUCUAAAACUGGGGCAUAAUAGUAACUACCUCAAAGGAUCAUCUGAGAAGAAAGCAAGAUAAUCCAGGAGGCAGAACAAGUAUUUAUGACCACCCUCACCUACAGAUGAUUUCACUACCAUCCAAGGACUUCAGCUGUGACAGAACACAAAUGGAUCCAUCCCAGGCUUGCAGCUAAAAACUGGGAUGAACUCA